AGUGAACGCUGGCGGUAGGCCUAACACAUGCAAGUCGAACGGCAGCACAGUAAGAGCUUGCCCUUACGGGUGGUGAGUGGCGGACGGGUGAGGAAUACAUCGGAAUCUACUUUUUCGUGGGGGAUAACGUAGGGAAACUUACGCUAAUACCGCAUACGACCUACGGGUGAAAGCAGGGGAUCUUCGGACCUUGCGCGAUUGAAUGAGCCGAUGUCGGAUUAGCUAGUUGGCGGGGUAAAGGCCCACCAAGGCGACGAUCCGUAGCUGGUCUGAGAGGAUGAUCAGCCACACUGGAACUGAGACACGGUCCAGACUCCUACGGGAGGCAGCAGUGGGGAAUAUUGGACAAUGGGCGCAAGCCUGAUCCAGCCAUACCGCGUGGGUGAAGAAGGCCUUCGGGUUGUAAAGCCCUUUUGUUGGGAAAGAAAAGCAGCAGGUUAAUACCCCGCUGUUCUGACGGUACCCAAAGAAUAAGCACCGGCUAACUUCGUG
rnacentral:rRNA from 1 species